AUUGAACGCUGGCGGCAGGCCUAACACAUGCAAGUCGAACGAGUGGCGGACGGGUGAGUAAUGUCUGGGAAACUGCCUGAUGGAGGGGGAUAACUACUGGAAACGGUAGCUAAUACCGCAUACCAUCGGAUGAGCCCAGAUGGGAUUAGCUAGUGGGUGGGGUAAAGGCUAACCUAGGCGACGAUCCCUAGCUGGUCUGAGAGGAUGAUCGGCCAAAUGGGAACGGAGACACGUCCCAGACUCCUACGGGAGGCAGCAGUGGGGAAUAUUGCACAAUGGGCGAAAGCCGGAUGCAGCCAGGCCGCGUGUAUGAAGAAGGCCUCAGGGUUGUAAAGUACUUUCAGCGGGGAGGCGUUACCCGCAGAAGAAGCACCGGCUAACUCCGUGCCAGCCGCCGCGGUAAUAC
rnacentral:rRNA from 1 species